CACAGCAGCGAUAGCUUUUCUUUUCCUCGUUGAUCUGUCAAAGCACAGAACAUAAAAGUGGUAAAAAACAGUCGCGAAUAUCAGCUCGUUUUAUGUAUUCUAUUUUCAAUUGGAAUACUUCUCGGUGCAGUAAAUAUUGCCAAAAUAUAUGCGUUUCAGAAGCAAGCAUAUAAAAAACGAACGAGAUAAAAACUCGAUCUGUGUCAAUGAAGAAACAUGCAGUAGCUGCGACCAGACGCCCACCGUUUACCACAAGAUCUACAUGAAUGUUUGAGACUGGCCAACAACGGAAAUUUCAGGAAGAUGUUCUACACGAGAAUGGAACAGAAUGAAAAAUGCUAUGCUGGAGAAUUACAUUGAUUGACGUUCACGAUUACAUUGCUAAGAGAGCAAUUGGAUACGCACAAGUUGUAAGAAACUGCACAUGAUGUACACUCACAGGAAUUCCAGAGCCGCGCAUGUUAACGUCUUUACAUACAUUAAAGACAACGACAAAUUUAAUCUCGCUGUUCAUGGCUGUAAAUGAACGAGACAUUAGGUCGUAUGAAUAAAAAAAAUAUUUACUUAUUCUGCCCGUUUCCAAGUAAAGUAAACAUUCGUAGUAUUUACUUGAAUCCGUAUGAAUAAAAGUUUACUUUACUAAUUUCAUUUUCGAA